rnacentral:rRNA from 1 species
AUGAAGAUGCUGCAGGCCCUCGUCAUGGAACAGAAGGAAGAGUUGGCGAAGCUCCACAUUGAGCACCCAGCUGCUGUCAAGGUACGUAAUGCGGCCGUGGAACAGAUGAUGAAGGCUCGCCUCGAGAAAUCCCGCGUCAUGGACAGGAUGAAGAAGAUGGCAGAGGAGACACGCAAGGAGAUGGAGGUUGUGGAGGCAAUGAAGAAGCAGUUACGACUCCACGGCGAAUUAGAUCAUUUGGGGCCGCACCCUCUGUCACUUUCAUUCUACGAGCUGCAACCAAAAAAAAGGGAGAUGGAUCAGGAGCUGGAAGAGGUUACAGAGGAGGAGGGGGACGCCAUAGAUGUGAGGGCUGCAGUAGCGGAGCAGAGGAGGAGGAGGCAUAGGCGCAGGCAGAUGGUGCGACGUGCUGCCGAGGAGGAACUGGAGGCAGAGUUCAACAGACGGCUUGCGCAAAAUGUCACCCAGGAUGAGGAUUUUGCUCUUAGUUCCGGUGUUCUGAAGAUGGAGACUUCGGACAAGAAUGGGUACCAGUUGAUGGAUGUUGCCUACCACAUCGACUUUGAUGGUUGCAUCAACCUAACUACUGGGUGGAAGGAGUUUGCGGCUGAGUCUGGAUUUGAGGAUGGUGAUGUGGUUAUGGUUAUGUUAUUGAGAGAAGAUGACUCUCUGACGUUCAGAAUUUAUGUGCUUACUGGAACAAUUUCUAUAGUUGAACUGAUGGGCAUCCUUCGUUAUGACUGAUCUGGUUCGGCAGAUUUUAGGACUGUACAAUGGGUAGAUCAUCUAGUCCGGACAAAUGGAAUGCAGUCAGUGAAGAACUAUUAUGGUGUUGAAAGAGUUGUGUUUUCUGAAGUUUGUUCUGCAAGUGAUGUUGGAGUGCCGGUGCCUCCUGAUUCUGACAAAUCAGAAUGCUUUCAAGAUCUUGUGAAUGUUAUUUUUGAGACACCAAAUCCUCUAGAAGAACUUGCGAAUGUUGCUGUUAAUGACAUCCAUGGUGUUCUAGAGGACAUUGCUGAUGUUGUUAAAGAUAUUAAUGAUGGAAUGUAUUCACUUAACGUUGAUGAUGGUGAUGGCAGCUUGCAGUUGUCUGUUACUCAGUCUCAAAGUGUUGAUGGCACUGAGCCUGUUACCCAAGCUGAGGAUGUUCCUAUGCAGGUUCAUGCAUCUGGUUUUGGUUCUAUCUUCAAGUGGAGGGUGAAGUCUAACAUUUCCCGCCCUCUGAUGGGAGUUUUGUACCUGAGGAUAGGUUGUGAUACAAUGACUCUUGACAUGGGUGAGGCUAAUAAGAAGCUUCGCAUCACUAGCGAUGGUAUACAACAAUUAUUUGGUUUCCCUCGUGGUGGUCGUUCUGCGACAAGGCCGUCAGAGGACGGAUAUGACGACGCUCUGAUGAAGUUAAGAUCGGAGCUUGACAUUAGCAGGGACAAAGAUAUCAAGACAAAAGAUUUGAGGAAUAAGCUCAAGGUGCUCGUCAAGCAUCCUAGCAAAGAUGACCUUGCUCUAAAAGUGUUCUUCAUGAUUGUGUUUAUGAAGGUUGUGUUGCCUGGUUCUGCCCCGCGUGUUUCCAGAGAGGCAGCAAUGUUUGAGGGUCUCAUCUUUGAGGACAUGGCUAAUAUGGAUUAUUGCCAGCUGAUGGUUGAUGAGCUUACAAGGGCUGUUGCCAUGUACCAAAAUGGUGAUACCUUGGGGAAGGCAAUCACAGGCUGUGCCAUAGGGCCUGUACUAAUGUACCUUGACUGCCUUAUCCGUCGCAAGACUGCGGAGCCUGACAUGCGAGUCCCCCGCAUAUGUUACAUGGAUCCUGCCAAGCUUUCUGAUCUGGUUGAUGCAAAUUUGAUAAAAAAAGGCAAUGCAGAUCCAAAGACUUGGGUGUUUCGGAACCUUCCGUGGAAAACUCAAGAGGAGGUUGUUUUUUUCCUAGUGUAUAAACGGCCAGUCCUGGAGAUGCCGUCGUCACAGGUUCCGAAGUUUUCAUCUCUGCCCGAUGAGUUGAGGGAUGGCCGUGGUGUUGAGGGUGUUGGUUAUGCCCCCCUGGCCCUAGUAAUGAUAGUGCUUCACAGAGGCAUGGUUUUGGUCCCAAUAACAGUUGAGUGUUUGAGUUGUAUCAAUGGUAUCCUUCCUGAAGGUCAUCAAUUUAACACUGAGGAAGCUGUUGACUACAUUGAGAUGGAGAGAAUUUUAAUCGUUGAUAUGCGUGACGGUGCCGCUAAUCUAGUUCAGAGCUUGUUUGAGCAUGAUGAGGCUGCUGCCACCGACAGCAAGGCUGGUGAUGUUACUGAGGCUUAUGUUUUUGAUCACGAAACGAAUGAUGUUGGCUUUGAGCGUCCUGAUGUUGAUAUUCAUCACGAUGAGGGUGCUGGCACCGACAGCAGGGCUGAUGAUGGUACUGAGGCUAAUGUUUCUGAUCAGCGUACGAACGAUGUUGGCUCGCAGCACCCUGUUGUUGAUAUGAAGACCAGUCAUAACGUUGAGGUUGUUGUUGACAGUGGAGUUAAUGAUCCAUCCAAUGAUAAGUGCAAGGGUCCUAUUGUUGGCAAUGAGCCUUGUUUGCCCGUUGGUGAUGUUGCUUUGAAUGUUAGCAGCAGCAAGAUCGAUGUUGUUGCUGUGAAUGCUUCCAAGAUUACUGAUGUUGAGCGUGAGGUUGUCCUUAGUGGUGGAGAUGAUGCUCGUGAUGUUCCAUUGAGUAGUGGGCGCAAUGUUGAUACCAAAGUUGCUGAUGAGGAUGCUGGUGCUGCCAGCAUACUUGAUGCCAAAUCGCCGGGUGUUGGUAUUGCUGGGAAUGAAAAUGUUUCUGGUUGUGAAGAUUUGCCGCCGGAGAAUUUCCCGCCUAGAGAUGUCCCAUCGUCAAACCCUGAAACUGAAGGCAUAAUGGUCUCAGCACAGGAACUACCGUCGUCGUCAAACCCUGAUAGUCCAGAAAGUGGUAAUGUUGUUAAGGUUGAUACGUUUUUCUUCGCUGUUACGAGGUUGCGCACGAACCGUAUGAAAUGUCACAAGCCGAUGUUUCAAAAUAAAGAAUGUGAUGCCACUGUUGGUUCUAUUGCUAAAGCGUUUGUCCCCACUGGCAUGCUCAACUCAGACAGUGCUGAUGUUGUUUUAUAUUCUCUACAUCAGAAGUACCGAGACACUGACAAGUUGAUAGUUCCCAGAUGGGUGAUGACCAAGAUCCAUGAUGGAAAUAUUGAUUCCAAUGUGCUAAAUUGGUUCAGGAGAUCAGGUGCUGAUGGUUUUGACCAACUUCUUUUCCCUACAUUUGAUCUGCCGUCAUUUGUGGCUACCAUGAAGCCUAGUGAAGAAUCUGAGCAUUGGUGCUUGGUUGUUCUGAAUUUGAAGUUCCGUCGUUUCGAGUGUCUUGAUUCACUCCGUGAUGAAACCUGGGGUGAUGCAGUUAGAUUCUUAAGGAAUAUGACAGAUAAUAUAAAGAAGCUUUGGAGGGAGUCCAGUGUAGACAGGGCCAAACCGUUCUCACCGGCGCAUAUUGAUGGUUUCUCUUGCGAGUUUGUGCGGGUGCCUCAGCAGGAAAACACCCAUGAAGACAUUUUGGACAUUAGGAAGACUUUGCUGUGUACCUGCGCAACUAGCGAUGUGUUUGAUGUUGACUUCCGGGGUGAGUGGCCGGGUCUUGGUGAGUAUGACUACAGGUUCUUUGGUAGCCAGUUCUCGAAGCUCGAGUGCGUAGCUAUUGAUCUUGACCAGGGGCGUUCUCCCGAAAAGACAAGAUCUGGUGUUAUGAAGGGGCGGUUGGAAGCUCUGAGAGGUUCUACGGCUGCUUGUGCAGAUAGUCCUACUACACCCAAGAAUCCCAUUGUGGAAUUGAUAGACAGUGAUGAUGAUGUGUUUGACAAGAUUGCUGGCAUUGGAAGAGUCACAUGGAGCGCUGCUGCCAAAGUUUUUGCACCUGGGAAAAUGAUGGAGGGUGAUGUAAUGGACUUCCUCAUUGAUGAUUGGAAGCAAGAUCCCUAUAGAAAUGUUGAUUUCGCAUCUGGGAAAAGGAUAUUGCUGAGUCCAUAUUUCAUCACGGUUGUGCUUGACUUUUCGUUUUACGAGGAUGAAAAUAAAGUGUUUAAUGUGGAGGGUGCAGCGAGAGAUUUCAAGAGCUAUGUUAAAGCUAAUGAAGACUUGCUCAGUUCCGACCUUAUCAUGAUGCCUCUAUUCAAGCCUAUGGUUUUAUCAAAGGAUAGGAAAGUGAACCACUAUUCCUUAUAUGUCAUGAAUCGGUACCGAAGUAGCGUUGACAUCCUUGACUCUUUAUCUUAUCCGAAGAACCACCUUCCUUCGAAGAACACCUAUCAGAAAGACUGCGAGAAGAUUGGUGAUGCUCAGUACAAUGCGAGCAAGCAGCCCAAUUGGGAGCUGUUUGCAAAGAAAGCAACGUUUGUCAAGGUUCCACUUCAAGGGAAAAAUGAAUGUGGCCAUUAUACUUUGAAAGUUGUGUUCAACCGGAAUAACAAUCUUCUGGUGACGGAGCUUCCCAAGGAGGUUCAGGCUUUGGCUCCUGAUGCAUAG